ACAGACUGAGAUCGUAAUAUCCGCUGGGUAAAAAUUCAAAAACCUUCAAAAAACUUAAAUUUGAUAUCUCAAAAAAUGUUUAAAAUUUGUUAAGAUUAAAAAUUCUUAGGGACUUAAAUAAAUUUUUGCUGGCGAACCCUUGGAGAACGUGGACCUCCCUUUUCGCAGCAAACCUGCCCAGCUGCGGAGCAUUUUUCCCAUAGAUUGGACAAUUUUCCCCGGCCAGUGUGUGCGUGUGUGUAAUGCGUGGCAAUUCCGCGCAGUGUGUGUGUCUGUGCGUGUGUGGGUGGGGAGGGAAAACCUAUUUAGAUGACGAAUCACAGAAAUUUGGCCUCAUCAAUGUCUGCGGUUCGGGGAUCGGAGUGCGUGCGGCAGCGGAGGCUGUCACAAGACAUUGUCAUCAUCCAGCGACCAAGUCAAGAGCCACGCCGCCCAGGGAAAACACCCACCCACCGCCGGGGGAGGGAGCCAUCCACCCACCUGGUCACGUCUCCAAGUGCGUGAAACGACCAUGCAUGUGUCCGUAAUCGACUGAGUUCGCAGCUCGGAUCAUACACAGGGCGAAAAGUAAAGAAAAGUAUACUACAACAUUAUUUAUAUAAAGGAGUUCCAAGGACCUUUCAUUCUUAUAGCCUGCUUUUAGGCAUAUUUACUGGCGGAACAAUUAAACUUUCUUUUUGGUUUGUGUAAAUUUAAGUAGAUAUUAAAAUUUUAUA